rnacentral:tRNA from 1 species
GGUGGCGUUGGCCAGGAUGCGGGCCAGCUCGGGGAGUUGGCCGAUAAAGCGUUCGAUCCGCUUCUGCCGCUGCCA